ACAUACAUAUAUAAUAUAAUGCUAGUAGAUCAGUUUUCUUUAUUUUUUUAUUAAGGAAAAAAAGAAAAGGAAAGAAAAAGGAAAAUAUUUGGAAACGCGUGACGCGUGGGUGGGCUCUGGUGUGGUGUGGUGAGUUGACCUGACAUGGGCCUCAUCCUCCUCCUCUGCUUUCUUUCUUCCUCCGUCGUCUUGGUCUUGAAGCAGAGCAAAGCAAAUCAAAUCAGAGAGGAGAGAGCAAGAUCCCCCCUCUCCUCCUCCUCCUCCUCCUCCUCCUUGUUGGUCUGCUGCCUGCGAGGAUUGUCCAGUCCAGAUCUGUCUUUCUUUCUUUCUUUCUUUGAUUUCCAACCAACAAACAUCAGAUCAGAUCAGAUUAGACUGGAUUUGAUUGGUUUGUUGCCUAGCUGUUGAUCCAUUCCGAUUCGCCCUUGUUGGAUUUGGAUGGACUCCCAUUCCCAUUCCCAUUCCCAUUCCGAUUCCAACCCCAACUCCAAUCCACAGCAUUCUUCUUCUUCUUCUUGUUGUUGUUGUAAUGGAUUUGGAGGAGGAGGAGGAGGAGGAGCUGCUGUUGAUGCUCCUAGUACAACAAAUAAGGAGGCGGCGGAGGAGGAGCAACAACAACAACAAGAAGAAGAAGAUUUGGGCUUGAAGCUGCAGCUGCAACAACAUGUAGAUGAGGAGGAGGAGGAGGAGGAAGAAGAAGAGGAGGAUAACAAGACCAAGCCCACCACAAGAAGAAGAAAAGUGGUUCGCUUCAACGACUGCAGCCUCACCCAGGUCCUCGAGUUCCAGCCUAGCAGCUCCCGUGAGGACGCCAUCUCCUUGUGUGCCCGGCUUUGCACUUGGCUCUGCGGAUCAGAAACUACUGAUGAUCAUCAUAAUCAUAUUCAUCCAUCCUCAUAGGUGAUUGAUUGAUUGAUGCGCCCCAUUCCCAUCAUGGGAGUUGAAUUUAUGGGAACUCAAUGCUUGUGCUCAAGUCAAGACUCAAGAGGAUGGAUGGAUGGAUCAACAGUCAGUGACACAAGGGAGGGCCUGGCCUGGCCUAAUGAAUGAAUAGGUGUAUAGUUUUGAUGAUCAGUUCCUUUUCUAAAAAAAAGUUUUGAUGAUCAGUCUAGCUAGUCUAGUGACUACAUCUUCCUUGUGAGUUCAAUUAAUCAAUCAAUUAGCUUAUUCCUGCUACCUACCACUUUGCUUCAGCUGUAUAUAUAUAUAUAUAUAUAUAUAUAUAUAUAUAUAUAUAUAUAUGUCUGCUUCACCUGGGCUAGCUGGGUCCUCUCCUCUUGGAGACUGGUGAUGCUCCCUGCCUCCAGGCUCCAGUCCAGCAUGCAUGUUUCUGAAUUCAUGCCCCCCUCCCCUAUCAACUUGAGCCUUGUGUAAUGUGCAGCCUGCACAAGCCGGUGGUGCCGUUCCUUCCAGGAAGGCGGCCUGCGCUUUUUUCAAGAGCUCUGGCAAAAAAGAAACUAUAUAUGAACCAGCGCGGCGGCCUCGGAGCUCUACAUCAAAAAGAGUUAGGGUUCGUUUUUGAGGGAUGAACAGGGUGGCCGUCAAGUGUGUUACCAGCGACCGCAUCGAAAAAUUGUUCCUGGCGGUUGCCUACAUUAGCUGUGCGGCUUCGCGGGUUGUGCAUCCAUUCUUUAAUACAGUAUUAAACAAACAUCUUUUCAAAUUACAUCAACAUUUUUUUCUUGACUA